CCCCCUCCCCGCCCUGUCCUGGCGCCGCGCUCCAGCUCGCCCUUGCGUAUCCUCGCUUAGGAUCCCGAAAUCACCUUUCGCGCGUGCCCUGGAUUUAAUCUCUCUCCGUCCCACACGAUGCCCGCAGCGGCGUGCCCUACAUAACAUGGGCAGGGAGAGGGACUUCACUGCGGUGCUGGCAUGGGCGGGCUGCUGGGGGAAGGGAGGAAAGGCCGCCUUUCCUAAUUGUCACGAUCACAAGAAAUUCUUGUGAUUCUCCGAGCGGCCCCCUUGCUCUAGAAGCGGGGAUGCAGUGAUGGGAUUUAAGCCUCUGAACACACGAAGGGAGCAAAUAUUGCCAAGAGAGCACAGAUGGAUACUGAGGAGCAUCUCCCACAGAAUGAAUAAAUUCGCAGAAGUGUCAGAUGCUGCAGCCACAGGCUUCUCCUGUCAGCAGCGACUGCUCUUGCCUCGGCAGGAUGAGCUGCAGCGAACCUAGCCGGGAAAGGGCAGGGUGUGCUCCGCUGGGAUCGGCCCGUCCGCAUCCAACAGAGCCGCGGGAGCGAGAGCAGAGCCAUUCCCACACGUGCCAGCAGAAAAAAAGACAUCUUCCUCUCAGUCACCCAAAACCAUCCACAUUGGCAGCACAGCCAUUACUUGGAAAUUUCCAUACCUCCUCACAUGAGACGUCUUCUGUUGCACAUCCCACAAAUCAAGCCUACUCCUCAAAGUCUGUGUGGAGGUUCCAGGCCCACCCGCAGGGUUUGAUUCUCACACCAAACCCAGCUUGAACCUGGAUUUUUCCUGGCUGACCUGGGUCUCUCUGCCUUGUCUUUGUAUCUGCUGAAGUUCUUAGAAAGAUCUGAUCACUGAAAUCACCAUUCCUUUUCUUCCUCUCCAAAAUACAAGUUUAUUUCAGUGAAGAAACACCAGUUUAUAGCUGAGCCUCAAACCUGCAAGGAAAACAGGUGUUUUGCUUCUGAUGCUUUGUCUGUCUCACAAGUUGACAAUUUUGGUUGCAAUUGUACUGGAAAAGCUACCCUCAACUCUUGCCAGCAUGGCCUCAACAACCUUUGGAAUGUAAAACUAAUGUCUCUCACAUUGCAUGUACUCAACUGAUGCACCUUGGAAGUGCACAUGGCUCCUCAUUCCCCCUGCACUACAAUAAUGUGUUCAGGCCUCUUCUUUGACCAGAAGGACAUGAGUUCUUAUGUCUGUGUGAAGGCACAUCAAGGAGACGUGUGACAAAUCUUGUGUCUUCAGGCCUCACUGGAUAUGACCUUCUGGUCAGUUCCAGUUUAUACAGCAGUAGCACGGCAUAUCCAUGGAACGCCCCAUCUUCACACAUCUCCAGUUUUGAUUUUAUCAAGAAUCUAGAUUAAUCUGCAUCAUGAUGAAUUCAAAAAAUAAAGAAGCUGGGUUUAUUAAUAAAUGUUUUCACACUGACCUCUUCCCACAAUGCAGUUUCCUCACACAGCAUCCUCUCCAGGAGGAAAGUAAGUGUACAGACACUUCCCAUGGCCCCAGCUGUGUGCAGCUGAGGGGGUAGGGAUAAGGGUGCACACUGCCAGACAAAAGAACUGGCCAACCCAGUUGAACAGAGCGGCCUAAACAAAAGAAUCUCUACAUGGAGGUGUUUACAAGACCUGAUUACUGGAUUUUUCAAAACACAGGUUACCCAAACACUGCAGAAUGCAUGGAUUCUUGGCACUAGGGGGAAAGAAAAACAUCUUAAAUAUGCCGAAAAUUCACAAGAACUGUGUGUAUGAUGAAGAACUGCAUCAACUGUUAAUACGCACAUAGACAGUUUUCCACUUAGCAGGGAAAACAGCAGAUUAUAUUUAAAAAUGGGAGAAACCCACAGUGGUCCAAUGCUUCACGUGUUCCCUUUGCUUCCCUCCUCACAGCAGGGAAACCCAAAAGCAAGAUAAAAUCCUUUGUGGGCUAUUUGAAAAACACAAGCACACUCUGUAUCAGGAGAGGGUUUAAAGUGCACACUUUUAUUUUCUAUUACAAAGGCUAAAAGAAGCAAGUUUGUUUUUUCUUUAUUUAUUUAAGAACAAAACCAAAAAUGUUGUUAAAACAUCUACAUAUUUAUCCUGAUACUAGACCUUAUGAAAGAUACUAAGUUCUUUUUUAAUAGUAAAGCGUGGUAUUCUUAAAUUAUAUUAAUACAAAGACAUAUUAAAGGACUCAAAAUCAUUACCACCCAGCUCAGAACUGCAGCAUCCCCUUGCUAUCUUUUCCUUUCACAUGCUAAAACCCAUCCAUUUUUGACAUACAGUUUCAUACAAGCUAAGUAGGGUAUUUUUUGGUUUUUAUUUUUUUACUUCUCCCUCUAAAGGCCAGGUUAACUCCAAUGCCAGUGUCACCUAAAUCCCUGCCCCCUGCCAAAGAAUUUGUGAAAAGAUUUUCACUAAGUCUUUCAGCAUUUAAUAAGUUUCUGCUCUGUGUGAAUGUCUGUGGUUAUUUUGCAGACAGGUAAAUACAGACAGGUUAUUUUCUUCUAAUGCUGUAAAAUUAAGACAUCACUUCCUUUGUUAAUAACCCUCAAAUUUGGUUCUGUGCUGCAGAAUUUUCUUCUUCUCUCACACAAAUAAAGAAGAGGGAGUUAUCACAGGGUCUUGUGAACACACCACUAAAGCAGCCCCUACAACUUUCAGUUUAUCUGCUGUAGAGCUGUAAGCACUGAGCAUUUCUGCUGAGAGCACAUAAUGUGCUGAAGAAAACCCUCUUGGCUUGAUAAAGCAAGUCUGGGAAGUCAAGUGUGAAACUUCCUGCCUUUCACAACGUCCCUUUAAAUAAUAUAAGCAAAGCCUUAUAUUUAAACUUUACUCACUAGUUAGCAGUAUAAUACUCUCUCACUGAGAUGGGACUGGAAGGACAUCCUAAAAGGUUUCAAAAAGGGAAACCUGUCCCAUCUCAAAGUUUAUACCUAUCUAUAUAAACCCCCCCUUUCUUCUGUUAUUUCCCUUUCCCUAUCCCAAAUAAAAGGGUUAAUAUUUAAACUGGGGAUGCUGCGUUUCCUGGCCUGAGUCCUUUUCCUUUACCCUCAUUUAAAAGAUUCCUUCGAUACCACACACAUAUAUAAUAUUAUAUAGAGCAAUAUAUUUAAUACUUGUGUAUAUAUGCUUCAUGGGAGGGGUCACAUAUAUACACACUAAAACAAGUCUGGUGACGAAGUACUGCAACACCACAGACCAGGUUAUCAUAUCAGGGAAAACAAAGAGACACUUGAAACAACCCUCAUGACUGUGGGCCUACCUCACUCACUUCACCUCACCUAACAAUCUCACCCUCUCCUCACCUCAGCCCCAGCCUGAACCUCUCAAGUCCCAUGGAGCAGCUCAGCUCUCAUUGCAGAGAGGAGGAGAGGGGACAGUGACCAACUCUGAAACCUAAACAAGUCAUUGCAUGAGAAAUCACGGCUCAGCGAACGCUAGAGUCACACUUGAGAUGCAGGUUUGUUUUAAAAAUAAAAAACACAUUCCAGUGUCCCCCAAUCCAGAUUUUCUUCCUUGGCAUAUCUGCCCAAAAAGAGCAGAACAAGAUAUCCCAGGAACUGAUGCCUGUCUAGGAGCUGAUGCCUGUCCCCUCCCAUCUCUGAAGUUGACCACUUGAGCACAAGGAUGACCAGAAGAAGGUACCAUAGUUUCUCUCUUGAAGCUCUGAACCCCAGGGAUAUGGAAGCAGAGAGGAAUGGGAGGAUGCAGCAAUGCCUAAGCACCAAGCAGUUCAUGGCCAGAUUGUAUUUACCAUGGAUACAGCCCUACCAGCCCCAAGAGCUCCGAGACUGCAGUCCCAGAAGACUCUGUACGAAAAAGACAUCCCUGAUGAAAGCUGGGAGGGAGACGUGUUUGUGUUUGAGUGGAUGGUGCCAUCCAUGCAUGCAAAACUGCAGAGCACAACUGGACUGUAGAGGAGAGAAGGAGAGGGGAGCUCAGGUCAGGAGAUACAUUUACUGCUUACAGGAUGAGACUGCCAGAAAGGACAAGGCUGGCAUUCAGAGCAGUCAGUACUGCUUCUCACUGCUGCCCCUUAUAAAAGCAGAACUCCUGUCCCAGAGUUCAGCAUUACUGGUUAUCUCAUCAAAGCACUCAUCAGGCAGCACAAGAGCAGGCCAUGGCUAGGUCCUGCUGUGCCACUCACUCUCCCUGCUCUGGGUCGCAUCCUGGUCGCACUGUGCAUCCGUGAGCUCCCUGCCCUGGCUCUGAGGAGGAGGGGGCUGGACCUCUGGUACUGGUAAGCGCUUCCAGCUGGAUUCCCAUUAGCUAAACAUUGCCCAUGCUGCGCAAUGGUGUCGUUUUAAAUGGGUCCCCACCCAGUUCUUCUGGCAGUGCAGGGAAAAAUGCAGCUCUAAGUAACUGGAAACACAUGCCAUUUACAGAGCAAAAAAGAACACCAUUACCCCCCUCCCUCCCUCCCUCUCUUCAAGACACAAGGCAAUACAGAAACACAGGCUCCUUUUGGUGACCACCUCCCUCCUGACUGAUACUGCUGUGUGGACUUCAGUGACACACAAUGUAUCAUAGACUCCACUACACCUCCUAGAUGGGUUGUUUUACUUGCAUCAGUCACACCAGCCAAAAAAACAAACCCAAACUAUCUGCCCUGAAUACCUGCCACAUACUGAAGAAGACAU